UACCAUGCAAGAAUGCCGUAUGUCAGGACACUCUCAAUGGUGCUGUGAUAGUAGGGCAGAAGUAGAUGCUAAGAUAAAUUUAUCUUCCUGAGCAUUCUCAGGAAGUAUAGCCUCUUCUGUGCCUUCUUCACAAGCAUGUUAACAUUCAUAGUCCAUGAGAGGUCCUCCGAGAUAUAAGUGCCCAGAAAUUUAAAACUACCCACCCUCCCCACCUCCUCACCAUUUAUGUACAAUGGUAGAUGUAUAUCUCUCUUCCUCCUGAAGUCAAUUAUAAGUUCUUUUCUGCGGAAAAGAAAAAGGAUUAUUUGGAAGCACAACAUGCUGCUUGUGAUAACCUUUAAAGAGCAAGUGUGUUUUUUCUUCUGCUUCAUUUUGUAAGUGAAUUUGCAUAGGGCGGAGUUUUGUGCAAGGCUUAUUCUAAAGUCCUCCCGACAAUCUGCCAGUUGACAUUUGUAGAAGAAAGCAAGAAUGCAUCCAAUAUUUGAUUUCCUCUGGUUUUCAGUCUUUGCAAUCUAUUGCUAUAUUGAAGCUUUGGUGAUAUGUUUUAUUCCUGUGAAGAGGAAAUCUGUGGCAGGUGAAAUUGUCCUUAUCACUGGAGCUGCAAGCGGUAUCGGAAAAUUAACAGCCUUUGAAUUUGCCAAACAUGGAAGCCGAUUGGUUCUCUGGGACAUAAACAAGCCAGGCAUAGAGGAAACAGCUGAAGAAUGCAGAAAGCUGGGAGUCGAAGCAUAUCCUUAUGUGGUGGACUGCAGUUUGAGAGAGGACAUCUACAGUGCGGCUGAGAAAGUUAAAAAAGAUGUUGGAGAUGUUACUAUUUUAAUGAAUAAUGCCGGUAUGGUAGUAACAGCAGAUCUGCUUUCCACUCCGGACACGCAAAUACAAAAAAUGUAUGAAAUCAACAUUCUAGCUCAUUACUGGACAAUAAAAGCUUUCCUGCCAGCUAUGAUGAAAAAGAACCAUGGUCAUAUUGUCACUGUUGCAUCAGCUGGUGCGAUUGUGCCGGUUCCUUUUCUAUUGCCUUAUUGCCUGCUUGUUGGAAGAGGGGUUUCUUCUUGUGAGCUUAACAAGGACCCACGGAAGCUGGGACAGAACACUCUUCCCAAAGUUUAUCUCAAGCAAGUUUGCUGCUUUAGGGCUUCACAAAGACUUCACCAAAGAACUAUCUGCUUUGGGAAAAGAUGGGAUCAAGACUACCUGCUUGUGUCCAUUUUUUAUAAACACGGGGUUUAUAAAAAACCCACAGUCGAGAAUAAUACCUAUUCUGAAACCUGAGGCAGUUGCAAGGAGGCUCAUGGAUGGGAUACUCUGCAAUCAAAACAGGAUUGUUGUGCCAUUCUCCGUUACAAUGUAUCCUUGGUUGGAAAUAAUUCUUCCCGAGCGUGCUUUGGUGGCUUUGGAAAAGAUUCUGGAUAUCAGUUUUGAUGUGAAGAAACAAGAAUGACCCAAAGUAUCAAAUCUUCCCAAGCUUUCCAAAUUUUAGGUUAUGUGAAAUCACAUGUCUAAUAUCGUUGUUUAAUACGCCUUAUGUAAUCUGCAAACGAAAUUCCAACCACUAUUCUUCACAAAUCUAUAUUAAAAUAACUUUUUCAAGUACUAGUA